rnacentral:lncRNA from 1 species
AAACAAAUCAGUGCUGUUAUUUUAUUUGUUUUAAUGAAGAAAAAGUGGUCACAAGGAAAUGGGGAAGGAAAAAGCUACAGAUCUAAGAAAAUGGACAGAAGAAAAUAUCAAAAAAGCUAUAGAAGAUGUCAUAAAAAUGUAUUUUGAUAUGUGUUUUGAGAUGUUGUUGAAAGUGUUGACUGAAAAUGAUUUAAUUGGUAAGCCUGAAAUAAUUUUCAACAUGGACGAAAGUGGCAUUCAAAUUAACAAUAAAACAAGAAUCGAAGGAAAGGAAAGAAGACAAAAAAAAUUAGAUGCUUUACUGAGGCACAUAUGACUGAUGUAUCCGUGGAAUGUGCCCCACCCUAGACUUUAAAAAAUCGUUGAUCUUAGCUAUUUUAAUUACUUUUAAGAAGUUUUUUUUUCUGUAUUGUUAUACCUAUUGAGUCAGAGGUUAAGGCUAAUUACUUUAAUACACAUGUUUUAAAUAA